rnacentral:pre_miRNA from 1 species
AACCCGUAGAUCCGAUCUUGUGGUAAAGUGGACGGCACAAGCUCGCUUCUAUGGGUCUG